AAAAAAAAAAAGAAAGGAAAAAACGAACAAAAGUUUUCUUUUCAUUUAAAUUAAAAUUUCCGAGUUUCACUUGAAGUUUUCAAGAGAAUACUCGAUUCUUUUGUAUUCAGAAGAUACCUUACUAGAGAUAUGUAAUUAAGACGUCAUAUGUAAAUUGGCUUUUUAACUUGGAUAAUUAUUUACAUCGUACAAUAUAAUAAUGGAUCUCUGUUCUAUCUUAAAAUCGAAUAUGAUGUGUGUAUAUAUACAUAUGAACAUAACCGAAAUUUUUGUUGUGCAAUAUAUUAAGAAUGUGCCAUAAAUUUAAAGCGAUUUAUUGCAGAGGCCCUAAUUUUGAACUAUACUGUAACGGCUGAGUAUGUUGUCUCGUCAAAGUGCACAAAAUAAAAUAUUUUUAACUUUAAAUGCUUCGAAUUAUGGCAAUUGAAAAAAAUAAUCCCUUUGCGAUAGGCAUAACUUCUCAUGUUUAGUUCUCGGUGAAGUGCUUCUAAAAGUGCUUGAAGUCGAUGAGAAAACACCAUACCGUACACCAAAAUAACGCAGAAAAUAAUAAAUCAUGGCAGUAAUUACAUCACAGCUCAAUACAAGACAAGCCAAACUAUUGGCGACACGAAAUUCAUGCCAAAUAUUAAAAGUGGUUAGGCGAAACUAUUGUAAACAGACUCAUCAUUUAACACAAGUACAAAAACUCGAGUGGUCCGCGGGUUAUCAUUAAAUAGCCUACAGUUAUAUGAGAAGUGAUUGAAACAGUUUUCCGAUCCAAACCAUUUUUAAUAACGUUUUGUACACCAGAAACCAAAACGGACAGACGGACAGACCCUACUAAUUCAAAUUAGAAAAUUAUUCUCAAUCCAUCGCUAUAGCAAAAAGCGGGUAUUGCAUACGUCCGCACAAACGUAAUAUGCUUUUAUACCACAAACGGUGCAGAUUCUAGUUAGUACCCGGGAUUGAUCCUACGGAUUAACAUUUGUUUUAGCCGAGGACGAAUGGACUAUCUGAGCAACAUUUCCGUUUUUAUGACGCCAUUGAAAUGUGAACGAUUCCAGUAUUGAAAGAACAGUUCUUUCUUCGACGCCGAACCCGUAUGCUAGAAGAUAAGCGGAAGGAAGAUAAAAAAAAAA